AGUGCGUUACAGGGAACUGGGGAGACAAGCACAGUGCUGACCACAACUCUACAGUUACACAGGACCUAACACGUAAAUACGGAACUUGGCAGUUUGAAGAAGCCAGUUAACACAUUUGAAGAGUAACAAUUCAUCAGUGUUAAACUCUUCAGUGAAGUCAGCAUGCACCUUUAAUCUCCACAGAAAUCUUAGGAAGAUUUGGAUAGUUGAACUGCUUUGGGCUUCUUAUUAUUUGUAUUAGAACUCACUUUCUAGAUGCCAUCCCAUUGCCUUCUGGCUAACACAGUCUCCAUGGGGUAAGAGUGGAUGGCAGAGGUCCUAAUUUACAGAGAGCAAAGGCUGCACAGCAGUUAGCAGAUUGGCCCAAACUGAUCUGUAUACUCCUCAAAAUCAGAACUUCAGUCGGCUAACUCCUACACAAGUUCACCCCAGCCAGGGGCAACAGGCGUCAGCCCCAAAGCUGAUUUUAAUGGUGGAGAUUUGCAGAAAAUGAAGAAGUACCAAGAAGAAAAAAUGCACCAGAUAUUAUUUCAAAAAAAAUUAAAAUGGGCUACGUUCAUAUGGUUGGAAGAAAGAGUACAAAUCUGAACAAAUCUCGAAUAAAGAAAAGGUUGCUUUUAUUGGAAAUACCUUGUUUUCUAUAACUUUAUCUGAAGUCAAAAAGAGAAGGUAUGUCACCAAAGUUUCAUAGAAGUCCUGAAUGAGUCUCUUGAAACACCGCGGGAGUGUUGAUAUGACAAAUCAAAAUUUUAUUUUCUGUUUGUUUUGUUUUCAUUUUCCAUUCCCUUUUAUUAAAACUUUUUUAUCUAUGCAAUCUCCCAAAUCUAGGAUGAAUCUUUUUUUUCUGUCAUUUUGAAUUGCUGCUGAAGGAAGAUUUCAAUUUUUAAGAACUAAAGUGUUUUCUACUCGUUCUUAUAAUCCCAAGCUAAGUAAACUGAUAUAAUUUAUAUUAAUAGUAUACACAUUGACAAUUAAUGGGUUCUUUCCACAAAGGUCUUCUUUUUAACCAAAGUUAUGAGUGAUAGAAAACAGAGAUAUUUUGUAAAAUGGAAAAGAAAAUUAUAUGUAAACUUGAAUUCACGCUGACAUGUUUGCAGGAAGUUUAACACAAGGCUGCAGGUGACAGGAGCAACACUGCCAUUUCCCUGAGUUAUCAUGGGGGAAACUGGUACCGUGUGACUUGUAACACUCCUAGAAUAUCUUUGUGAGCUAUUACACACAGGUGUCUGAUGGAGCAAACAGACCAGGGUAACGCCAGCCUCUCACGAAAUCUCCACACCAGCCUUCUUAACUUGCCGGAGAUUUAUGGCUCCUGAAGCCAAAGACGGGAACACAAAUCUUACUACUCCAGUUACUCAUGUAAGCAAUACUGAAGCCAUCUCUGCUUUGCACCCAGGCCCUGGAGGGUGCUGGGUUUUGAGUGUUUAAAGUGCUUAGCUUUGCAUUCAGGGAAGGAUGGAAAAUCAUUUAACAGCCCCCGUUCUCCACUGGCUCCCAGGGAUGCUUCCAACUGAUGCGCGUGAGGAAGCCGGACCACAAAUAAAACUCUUGCAGGCUUCGGAAUACAAUCUCUCUGCUUGGAACUGGUCAGCUCUUUGUGCAUCAGGAAGUGUACACUGCUCAUCAGAGGAGCCACGGUUUCGGUGUUACACAAUGAUGUGUGUCUCCUCAUGGAUUAUUAUCUCAAGAAUAAAAUAUUCCCAGCUCUUCUAUUUCACCAAAAUAUAUACAAUUAAGUGAAGAAUUAAAUACGCGCUUCUCCAUUUCUCCAUCUUAGCAUUAGUCAUAUUUUAGAUGAGAAAGUUCAUAGUAAUUUAGAAAUAACCCAGAUGCAAAUAAUAUCAAGGAUAAUAUCUCAAGUUUCCAGUAAACAUAAUACAAAAUAGGUUAGUGUUGUCACUAUUGGUCUUCAUGGGAAAUGUAAAUACUGUUAAAUUCAGGUCAAGCAGGAAUUUAAUUCUAUGUUAAUUCUAUGUUAAAGGUACUGCUAGGGUUCAUUUUAAAUGGCAUAGAUUUCUGGGAUAACGCAUUUGGUUGGAAGGCAGACAGCAUGAAGGAGAUAAGGCCUCCGUGGGCAAAUCAGUUUCACAACUAAGAAGACUGUUCCAUGACCUGUUACUUUUCAACAUUUGGCCCUGGUUCACGGAAUGGAGCAGGGGUUUGGGGCACUGAUCUGGGGUAGGGCCAGGUGGAGAGAGAGCUCGUCUUGAAAUGGGUUUGUACUGUAUUUUACAUAAUAUCGAUAAGACCGGCAGCUGUCCGUCUCAAAGAACCGAUGGAACAGGUGGUGAUGGAGGUUAUCUCCCAUUGGCACGACGGCUCGCCUUAUUUUCAUAUGCAUACCCCGCAUAUUAGUAAGGAACACAUUUUCUCUUCUAGAAAUAAGGUUUUCAUUCUAAGCUAAUGUCAUUUGGAUUGAAGAGAUCACCAGUAUCUUGCUAGUUGGAGAAAACCCAUUUCCUCCCUCUUAGUUACUCCAACUGAAGUUCUGAAACUCGUGAACUGGUUAUCCCUCCAGCCCUCCCUGGAGGCUGCCUUGGGGAGAGCCCUUCCACGAGGCCACCUUCAAUCUUGAGGAGGCUCCGCAGUGCCGGGGUUUCACAAGCCUGAGAAGAGGAUGGCCUAAUGCUUUCGCAGAAAUGCCCUUGGCCAAAUGCUCUUUGCUCACUUACCAUCCAAGACUCAGGGCUUAGAGCAGACGGGGCCUGUGCUUCUCUCCAGGACAGAGGAGAAGAAAGCAUUCGAGACUAAGUUUCAGAUGUGGUGGUCAUUUAUCACUAAAUAUUUGGACAUCUAUUCUUUUUACUGAGUGGACACAACUACUUAAAAUAUUCUUAAAACCCAUUCAGAAAUACAAAUAAGAAACUCAACAUUCAUUUACUGUAUUCAAAGCUACAUUCUGCCGCUAGUCCUUCUGCAGACAAGGGGACUAAAGGAUGCAUUUUUCCCCUACGGAGAAGGAUAUCUGGCACCAAGGAUCUCUGGCCUAAAUUCCUCAAAUACAUUCGUCAUGUUGAUACCAUUUCUGAAAAUCAGUAAUGAUACUGAAUUCCAUGAAUACUUUGAGCAAAUUGUAUACAUAUAAUUAAACCUGGAUUCUGUCACUGGAAGCUAAGUUUGAAUUCUUUUUUUCGUAUUUCAUUUGACAAAGCUACUUCUGGGAACAUUUUACGUAAAACUAGGAACAACCAAGGAAAGAAGCUUACAGCACAUUAUACUGCAGUUCACCAUAUAUAAAUAAGCACAUUGUAAAAUGUGUAUUAAAGUUCGAAUCUGAAACAGCGUCUACUUUCCAGCUUUUAUGUUUGGCAUGGGGCUUUGCAGAAAUGCUGCAGUGGCUGUGAAGACAUUCAGGCAUGCCAGACAUUAUGCCAGUACAAACGGUGUAACCUUAAAGAGUUUGAGACACUGAGUCAUUACGAGGCACGUUUCUGGUUAUGGACCGGACUUUUGUGUAUCAUACAGCCUAACAGGACAGCAUAGAUCUAUCAGGAAGCAAGCUCCACCGCUAAAGUCAGUUCAUGAAGAAAUGUAGUCAGGAUGAACUCAAAAACAACGUAUUGGUUACCUAGAGAGGUUGCUCAAAUACUGAUUUGAAUUGUUCCAACUUGGAUUUCUGUUAUUGUUGCUCAAGAAGAAGAAGAUAACAUCAGCUUCUAGCCGGAUCUAAAUAAGACUCGACUUGGAGGCGGGAUCCCUAACACCUGUCGGCUAUUGCUUUGAGAAGCGUAUCAGAGAAAAAGUGACCCCAUCUGCAGCUGCAUACUUAACAGACUGGGCGAUGCCUUGUCGCUCAUAGCAUGCCAAGCUCAAUGUCAUGUCACUUCACUCAA